UACGAAGGGGGCUAGCGUUGUUCGGAAUCACUGGGCGUAAAGCGCACGCAGGCGGAUUGAUAAGUCAGGGGUGAAAUCCCGGGGCUCAACCUCGGAAUUGCCUUUGAUACUGCAAAUCUCGAGUCCGAUAGAGGUGGGUGGAAUUCCUAGUGUAGAGGUGAAAUUCGUAGAUAUUAGGAAGAACACCGGUGGCGAAGGCGGCCCACUGGAUCGGUACUGACGCUGAGGUGCGAAAGCGUGGGGAGCAAACAGG
rnacentral:rRNA from 1 species